UACGGGGGGGGCAAGCGUUGUCCGGAUUUAUUGGGCGUAAAGCGCGUGUAGGCGGCUCGAUAAGUCCGGUGUGAAACCUUGGGGCUCAACCCCAAGCCUGCACUGGAUACUGCCGAGCUAGAGUCCGGGAGGGGAGAGCGGAAUUCCUAGUGUAGCGGUGAAAUGCGUAGAUAUCGAGAGGAACACCUGCGGCGAAGGCGGGUUGCUGGGCUGAUACUGACGCUGAGGCGCGAAAGCCAGGGGAGCGAACGGG
rnacentral:rRNA from 1 species